UCCGUGGCUGGCAUCGCUCGCUGUAAAUUGUAAUCAUCAAAGCGUUUUCUCAGAGCCGCUUGGUGUUACUUCUUACAGUGAGUGUGCCAGUCCGUA
ensembl:ncRNA mir-971 mir-971 stem loop